rnacentral:rRNA from 1 species
UACAGAGGUCCCGAGCGUUGUUCGGAUUCACUGGGCGUAAAGGGCGCGUAGGUGGCCCGACAAGUCAAUGGUGAAAGUUCGACGCUUAACGUCGAAUCGGCCACUGAUACUGUUGGGCUGGAGCACUGUAGAGGCUCAUGGAAUUCCGGGUGUAGCGGUGGAAUGCGUAGAGAUCCGGAAGAACACCGGUGGCGAAGGCGGUGAGCUGGGCAGUUGCUGACACUGAGGCGCGACAGCGUGGGGAGCAAACAGGG